GUUUGAUCAUAGUUCACUGCAGCCUUGAACUUCUAGACUCAGGUGAUCCUCCCACCUCAACCUCCUGAGUAGCUACAACUACAGCCAUGCACCACCACACCUGGCUAAUUUUUUAAUUUUUAAUUUUUUGUAGAGAUGCAGUCUUGCUAUGUUGCCCAGGCUGGUUUUGAACUCCUGGGCUCAAGCCAUCCUCCCACCUUGACCUCAGCCUCCCAAAGUGUUAGGAUUACAGGCAUGAGCCACCGCACCUGGCCUUGGCUAUAUAUUAGAUUCAUUGAUGAUCCAGAGCCCAUCAAGACUGCUAACGCAAGUCUCUGAAUUUACUGGAGCACUCGACAGCAUCAGAGGGAAGAGCCACCAUCACCUACUAAUCAUAUCUGAUGGCCCUGGGACAUUCACCAAGACCUUAAGACUACUUGAUGAUUUCAUGGCUAGACCUGUGAGGAUUAACAGCCAGCAGAUCCAGAACUGGUGUGCAGAGACCUCGUCCUGCUUGGAAAACGCAUUCACCUCCAGGGGGCUGAAAAGCCUGUUGCAUCUGCUGCUGACUUUAGUGCAAUGAUUAUGGGCAGCCAUGUUGGGCUUCAGUUUGUGUCUCUUUGAUGAGUAAAUGACUUUCGUUAAGGCAAAGCUACGUAUUCUAGCUGCUACUGGAGACAACACAAGAUAGCACAAAAGCCUUUAACUCAUCAUCUUCAGGAAGAGUUACAUUUCAAAUCUUCCCUCUUUGAAAGAUCCUAUCAGAUUUUUAUGGCCAUUGAGAGAGGAAACGUCCUGUCCUUCUCAGAUGUCAUUUGAAAUUCAAAAUGUAGGUAAGAGCUUCAUAUAUUGCUGAACUUUAACUAGAGGAAAUCCUCAAAUUCUCAAAGCCUUCCAAGGCACACACACCAAAUUAGUGACAAAAGAUGACUUAAAAGGUAGCAGUAGAAUUUACUGUUACAGUAACAUUCACAAGCAUUCAUCAGGCCUUCUUACUUAACAGUGCGUCUUAGUUUUAGAGUGUCCACGAGUUUGUUCCAGAUGUCUACAGCCCUAUUAGUCAUCUGUGAAGGGUGCAUGCUAAUUCAAUAUGGCAGCUGGGUUCUGAUUCCAAAUUUUUGGAGUUUGUUCUCACAACCCGGAUGCUUGCAAAAGUAAACAAAGACAUUAAAAGAUUUAUGAAGAGACUCUGUCACACAUUUUGAAGUGCAAAGUGUAAAUGAAUUUUUACAAGCAUAUGGAUUUCAUUUCUCUGAUAAUAUGCAUGAAUUUAAAAAUUAAAAGAAAAUGUGCUGGCUACAAUAUGUUUUACGUUCUUGUUGAAACUUUGAAAAUAAUCAAAGGUGCCUAACAUAUUCAAAACCGCACAGACUCCUCUAUCCUAUGAUGUCAUUUGAACCAUCAGAUAGUGAUUAAUAUUACCCCAAAAGGAUGCUUUUCUGAAAGAAGCUCCAGAGAGGCACUUGCAAUUUGAAUUUCUAUUUUUAAGCACAUUCCACAGCUUAUGGCCAGUCUCAUUUCUUCCUGUAUAAACUUCCAGGUUGCUAUGCUCAGCACACUAUCACUCUCUUAAAUUUGGAUAACACCAUAGUCAAGUCUAACAGUUGAGGCUUCAUGAUAAUAUUUACAUUGAGGCAUAAGAGGACUGAGAGAGGAAAAAAGUGCAGGGAAAGCAUGUUCAGCUCCUCGUGGUCACAUGGAAUGGAUUCUGUCGAGAACGUAAAAUAACAUUUGUAUCUGAGUGGUGCUUGGAAUCAAUUAAGAUCUACCAGUUCAGUCAAGAAUGCAGCCAACAUUUUA
rnacentral:lncRNA from 10 species